CCUGCCCCUAGAAGCAUUGCAGGAGUGGUUGCUGUGUCACAUGUGCAUUAGUAGGUAUCAGAGAGGAGAGAGGCAAUGUCUACAUUCAGUGUUCAGACUAUGAAUACCUGAAUGGUUAGAAGUCUAAUACU
ensembl:snoRNA LOC120099490 small nucleolar RNA SNORA17